rnacentral:ncRNA from 1 species
AUGACGAUGGCAGGGAGAGACCGGGCGGACAAUCUAGGAUCGCCAGGCACCGAAGGAGCAAGUCGACGGCCAGCCAGCCGGACGAUUAAUCUCUCAGGUAAAAAGAACCGCCAUCCGACG